AUUGAACGCUGGCGGCAUGCCUUACACAUGCAAGUCGAACGGCAGCACGGGUGCUUGCACCUGGUGGCGAGUGGCGAACGGGUGAGUAAUACAUCGGAACAUGUCCUGUAGCGGGGGAUAGCCCGGCGAAAGCCGGAUUAAUACCGCAUACGAUCUACGGAUGACAGCGGGGGACCUUCGGGCCUCGCGCUAUCGGGUUGGCCGAUGGCUGAUUAGCUAGUUGGUGGGGUAAAGGCCUAACAAGGCGACGAUCAGUAGCUGGUCUGAGAGGACGACCAGCAACACUGGGACUGAGACACGGCCCAGACUCCUACGGGAGGCAGCAGUGGGGAAUUUUGGACAAUGGGCGAAAGCCUGAUCCAGCAAUGCCGCGUGUGUGAAGAAGGCCUUCGGGUUGUAAAGCACUUUUGUCCGGAAAGAAAGCCUUGGCCCUAAUACGGUCGGGGGAUGACGGUACCGGAAGAAUAAGCACCGGCUAACUACGUG
rnacentral:rRNA from 1 species